rnacentral:rRNA from 1 species
AGCGAACGCUGGCGGCAGGCCUAACACAUGCAAGUCGAACGAAGUCUUCGGACUUAGUGGCGGACGGGUGAGUAACACGUGGGAACGUGCCUUUAGGUUCGGAAUAACUCAGGGAAACUUGUGCUAAUACCGAAUGUGCCCUUCGGGGGAAAGAUUUAUCGCCUUUAGAGCGGCCCGCGUCUGAUUAGCUAGUUGGUGAGGUAAAGGCUCACCAAGGCGACGAUCAGUAGCUGGUCUGAGAGGAUGAUCAGCCACAUUGGGACUGAGACACGGCCCAAACUCCUACGGGAGGCAGCAGUGGGGAAUCUUGCGCAAUGGGCGAAAGCCUGACGCAGCCAUGCCGCGUGAAUGAUGAGGGUCUUAGGAUUGUAAAAUUCUUUCACCGGGGACGAUAAUGACGGUACCCGGAGAAGAAGCCCCGGCUAACUUCGUGCCAGCCGCCGCAGUAA